rnacentral:misc_RNA from 1 species
CCAAUAGCGUAUAUUAAAGUUGUUGCAGUUAAAAAGCUCGUAGUUGAAUUUCGGGAUCAAUAUGUUGGUCGUGCCUUUGGUACGUACUAGCUUAUUGAUUUCUCCCUUCUGACGAACCAUGAUGUCAUUAAUUUGGUGUCAUGGGGAAUCAGGACUGUUACUUUGAAAAAAUUAGAGUGUUUAAAGCAGGCUUACGCUUGAAUAUAUUAGCAUGGAAUAAUGAAAUAGGACGUUUUGAUUCUAUUUUGUUGGUUUCUAGGAUCGACGUAAUGAUUAAUAGGGAUAGUUGGGGGCAUUAGUAUUCAAUUGUCAGAGGUGAAAUUCUUGGAUUUAUUGAAGACUAACUACUGCGAAAGCAUUUGCCAAGGAUGUUUUCAUUAAUCAAGAACGAAAGUUAGGGGAUCGAAGACGAUCAGAUACCGUCGUAGUCUUAACCAUAAACUAUGCCGACUAGGGAUCGGAUGAUGUUAAUUUUUUAAUGACUCAUUCGGCGCCUUACGGGAAACAAAGUGUUUGGGUUC